UGGGGAAUAUUGCACAACGGGCGCAAGCCUGAUGCAGCCAUGCCGCGUGUAUGAAGAAGGCCUUCGGGUUGUAAAGUACUUUCAGCGGGGAGGAAGGGAGUAAAGUUAAUACCUUUGCUCAUUGACGUUACCCGCAGAAGAAGCACCGGCUAACUCCGUGCCAGCAGCCGCGGUAAUACGGAGGGUGCAAGCGUUAAUCGGAAUUACUGGGCGUAAAGCGCACGCAGGCGGUUUGUUAAGUCAGAUGUGAAAUCCCCGGGCUCAACCUGGGAACUGCAUCUGAUACUGGCAAGCUUGAGUCUCGUAGAGGGGGGUAGAAUUCCAGGUGUAGCGGUGAAAUGCGUAGAGAUCUGGAGGAAUACCGGUGGCGAAGGCGGCCCCCUGGACGAAGACUGACGCUCAGGUGCGAAAGCGUGGGGAGCAAACAGG
rnacentral:rRNA from 1 species